UACAGUACUCUGAAGUGCUGAAUAAAUGAGGAACUUACUUUAACUUCCUGUUUACUCCGUAUGUUCAAACAAAAGGUAUGGCAUCUCUUACAUUACAUCGUUUUCUAUCAGCUCUUGUCCAAGGAUCAGAGUUCAGCACUGAGACUCUGAAACGGUUUGUUCUAAAGGGACAAAAUGUUCAUCUGGAUGUCCAAGGAUAUGCUAAACUAAAUAAUAUUGAGGAUUUAAAGUGGACGUUUAACAAAGCUCACACUUUAGUAAAAUACUCCAAUGAAUCAUCAAKAGUGAAAAUAUACACUAAAUACCAAGGCAGGGUUGAGUUUAGGGAGGGAAACUUCUCUAUAAUACUGAGGAACCUACAGGAAGGAGACAGUGGACUUUAUGAGGCAGGAGUGAGUGGUGAAGAAAACAAAGAUGUUGCCAAGUACCAGAUAUCAGUUCAAGAGAGAGUUAAGCCUCCAGUCCUGACAGUGAACUCUGUCACCUCCAUCAAUGCCAUCUGUAAUGUGACUGUGACCUGCAGAGGUCAGAUCACCUCUGUCACCUCCAGCUGUAACAGCAGCACCUGCUCUCAGGUGGGAGGAGAGAGUAGAGGGGCUGAGACCUCCACUGUCCCCCUGCUCUCUGUCUAUGUGGCAGGGGGUUCCAUCAUCUGUAACCACAGCAACCAAGUCAGCUGGGCCCCUGACACGAAGGAGAUCGAAACUGUUUGUGCAUCCAAAUCUAAACUAGAGAGGGAUGAAGCGGACCACAACUACGCUGCCACAGUCUGGAAAGGAGGUCCUGUCGGCAUCAUCAUCAUCAUCAUCAUCAUCGUCGUCGUUGCCUGGAUUGCUUGGUGAAAGCUAAAUAAAGGUGGCAAAAGAGAAGUUUCAAACACAGAUUAUACUACAGUUGGGACUCCAGAUAACAGCCAAGCAGGUGGUGAAGAGCAGGUGUCUCCAGGUCCAGGACCAACAUCACCCACCAUCUACAGUAUGGUGGGACAUCCACACCAGCCUCCACCUGUGGUCCUCCCCAUGUCCACCAUGCCCUCCAUGACGUCCAUGCCUGAGAGUUUAUAUUCUGUGGUCGGGCCCAACAAACAAUCAGGCAUUUAUACAUCUUAGGUCGGGAUUCUAUUCAAUUUUAUAAGAUCACCAUUUGUCGGCUAAGCAAAUUUUAAAGGUUCCCGCAUUCUUGGAGACUUCAUUCACAGUAAAUGUUGCAUGUGUCGGCUUAAUCAGAAAUUACCAAUUCAGUUGCGCUAUAACCCAGAUCUUCCGCUGUCCAGACUGAAUCUAGCCGUUAUUCUCAAUAGCCCUGUUUAUACCUGGUUCUCACAUGUCCUWUGGCCUGAUCUUGUCAACUUUCUGAUUGUGCCCACAAGUUUAGACAGGUGUAGAUAAUCAAAAGUCAAAUUGUGAUCAGAUCUUCCUGCCCACCUCCAGAGAGGGUCAGGUGUCUGGAUAUCUUACAAGUGUUGUAAGAUAUCCACACUCAAUCAUGCAGUACAUAUACAGUGGCAAGAAAAAGUAUGUGAACCCUUUGGAAUUACCUGG